UGGAAGAGGAGCGAGUAGGAGAAGGAAUUGCUAAGAAGGCAAGAGAAGCAGAAAAGGAAAGAAGACAGAAGAGUAAGGAUAUUAACUCAGGAUCUAGUACCCCUCUGCCAGUACUUUCGUUGAAAUAUUUGUACGAAACAUUAUCUUUGUCUCCAGGGGACUAUUUCUCUGACUCUUUUGACAAUCAACAACCAGCCCCGGAUACCGACAAUCAACAACCAACCCUGGAUACUGACGAUCGGCGACCAACCCUGGAUACUGACGAUCGACGACCAACCCCGGAUACCGCUGAUCAACAACCAACCCUGGAUACUGACGAUCAACAACCAACCCCGGAUACCGCUGAUCAACAACCAACCCUGGAUACUGAUGACCCACAACCUACCCCAGACGCAACUGAUGACCGACAGCCGACCCCAACUGACCCAAGACCAACACCAGACUUAGAGGAAGUAACGAUUAGUUUAAACAGAGCAGCAACAGAAAUUGGACGUAUAAAACUGGUGUCAGUGACCGUCGUAACCGAGACUUAUUAUCAUGUGCACGGGAAGGAAAAAAGAGGGAAGGUAGAGACGAAAACCUUUAAUUUCGACGAAGACAGUAAUGAGGAGUAAUUUUUAUUUAUUGUGUAUUUAUAACUAUUGAGAAUUUUAAUUAUUGUAUAUUUAUUGAAACUAGCGUUUAAGCCUACAUUUAUGCUGUAGUUAACAGAAGAAGAAAAAAAAAAUACACAUAGACCUGUAUGUACUGUAUAUACACUACCAUGUCAAAGUAUGGUACAUGUAUGAUAAGAAAUGAGUGGUUGUAUUUUUAAUUUUUUUUUUUUUUUUUAGUCGCUGGGGACAGCGAUUUAGAAGAAGGGAGGUAGUGUGACGGUCAGCGUAAAAUCUAACUUGUUCAUUUUUAUAAAACUGACUUGAAACACCAAAAUAUAUAUGUGGGACUGAUUUUUCGAUCUUUUCAUAUAUUUUUGUCUAUUUCACUUGUUAAAUUGCUGAGUUAUACUGUCAGGCUGACUUACCAUUAUUCUAAAUGUCUGUACUCUCGGAAUAAGGCUCUUACUUUAUUUUGAUCAAUAUAUUUCUCUUUGUAUAAAGGUUACAAAUUAUUUGAUGUAAUCGCACUUACUUUGAAAUAGUUAUUGCGAAGAUUUAUGAAUAUUCAUGUGCGUACAUAUUCGCGUGGUUAAAGCAUACGCGCAUAGCGCAUGGUAGUGCGCUGAUAUGUGAUAGCCGAGUUUGAUCGAUGUGGCUAGGCUGUACACUUUGGCAUUAGAUGCGCUGUGAAACUGACCUGUCUGUGAACCUUGUUGAACCGAGAUUUACGACUAUAGACCAUAUCUGCUGUGUGACCUAAUACAUUACUAGUAAUAUGAAUUUCUGGAGGACGAGGCUGAGGGCCUCAGUAACUUAGUCUGUCACCUGUACCUAGUAGUUUAAGAAUAUAUCUAUCUACAUGUAAAGCAGUUGUAACUUAUAUAUAUUGAACAUUUGUAUAUUUAAUAAUUGUAUUCUAUAUAGUUGUACUUUAAAUAUAUUCGUCAUAUUUAUGAACAAAGUAAAUACGAUCUGAUGCUAUUACUUGCAUAAGAUUUAGUCACUUGUAAAUAGAUUCACAAUUCAACAAUUAAUGAUGUACAAAUUAAUAUAAGUAGCUUAUGUAUUUAUGGAGCUGUAACUUACAUGUAUAUUUUAUCUUAGUAACACUUAUUGAUAAUGAUCCCUUAAUAAGCACUGAAUUACAGAGAGCAAGGAACGAAUCCCUAGACAAACCGGUUGUCUUAAGAUUAAAGUACGUUUAGAACUGAUUAGUAAUUCUGGAAGUUAGCAAUAGGAUAGGAAUUGGAAAUUUGAGGCUAUAACCUAUUGUAAAGACCUAAGGAUUAAAGAUCGCAUGGUUAUGCCGACAGAGUGAGCUGCCAUGACGAGAUUAGGGGUGGAUAGACCAGUAAGUAAAAUACCCGUUGAGCGGUGAAUCCGAAUACCAUAAGUUGAUUAUGCCUAGGCAAUAAGAAGGAAGGCAGUUAAGUAUUUGUACUUGAACUUGGAAUGAAGUAAUUAUUAGAUGGCUGCUGGUCAGCCUAGAUUGACCGUAAGAUGAAGUGGCUAUGUUGUGCCCGGAAUAGAAUUACUUUCUCAUGUUUUAGAAGGAAAGAAAAGGUACACUUUGGAAUAGAAUUCAGUUGCUAAUGAUCUAUUAUUGUAACAUCUUAAACCUGUCCCUAUAGAACUCUUUAACAUAAUACUGCAUCUACUAUUAUAGUCUAUACAAUUAAGUUAGUAUCACUUAGGUAAAUGAUUGGUUGUCUGACAAAAGUGACAACACAUCUGUAUAUAAUGUACAUUUGAACUCUUAUACUUAGUAAUUGCAUUGCAUACAUUUUCGAGUUGAAUUACGUCAACGUUGAAUUAGGCAUGAAAGCCUCACUGUUAAUUGAAAUCCAUUAAUAAAGUGUUACUUGUUAUUUGUUCACCUGAA